rnacentral:rRNA from 1 species
AGACUUUGAUCAUGGCUCAGAACGAACGCUGGCGGCAGGCCUAACACAUGCAAGUCGAGCGCGCCCUUCGGGGUGAGCGGCGGACGGGUGAGUAACGCGUGGGAACGUGCCCUUUGCUGCGGAAUAGCCACUGGAAACGGUGAGUAAUACCGCAUGAGCCCUUCGGGGGAAAGAUUUAUCGGCAAAGGAUCGGCCCGCGUUGGAUUAGGUAGUUGGUGGGGUAAUGGCCUACCAAGCCGACGAUCCAUAGCUGGUUUUAGAGGAUGAUCAGCCACACUGGGACUGAGACACGGCCCAGACUCCUACGGGAGGCAGCAGUGGGGAAUCUUAGACAAUGAGCGCAAGCCUGAUCCAGCCAUGCCGCGUGAGUGAAGAAGGCCUUAGGGUUGUAAAGCUCUUUCACCCGCGAAGAUGAUGACGGUAGCGGGAGAAGAAGCCCCCGGCUAACUCCGUGCCAGCAGCCGCGGUAAUACGGAGGGGGCAAGCGUUGUUUCGGAUUUACUGG